CCAAUCGAACUCGGAGAUAGCUGGUUCUCCCCGAAAUAGCUUUAGGGCUAGCCUCGAUUUAGAUUACCGGGGGUAGAGCACUGAAUGGGCUAGGGGGCCACAAAGCUUACCGAACCCUAUCAAACUUCGAAUACCGGAUAAUUGAUGAUCGGGAGUCAGACAGUGUGAGAUAAGUUUCAUUGUCGAAAGGGAAACAGCCCAGAUCUACGACUAAGGUCCCAAAGUUCAAGUUAAGUGGAAAAGGAUGUGCAAUUGCGUAGACAACCAGGAUGUUGGCUUAGUAGCAGCCAUUCAUUCAAAGAGUGCGUAAUAGCUCACUGGUCGAGUGAUUGUGCGCCGAAAAUGUAACGGGGCUAAACUUGACACCGAAGUCUAGGCAGAAGGAAACUUCUGGGUAGGGGAGCAACGUGUACGGGCAGAAGCAGAAGCGGAAGCGACUGUGGACUGUACAGGAGAGAGAAUGCCGGCAUGAGUAGCGAGAGCAAAGUGAGAAUCUUUGCCGUCGAAAGCCUAAGGUUUCCUGAGGAAGGCUCGUCCUCUCAGGGUAAGUCGGGACCUAAGCCGAGGACAAUAGUCGUAGGCGAUGGACAAUCGGUUAAUAUUCCGAUACCGCCGAGCAACCGGAUGCAGUGACACAGAAGGAUAGGCAGAGCGUGGCGAUGGUAGACCACGUCCAAGCAGUGAGGCUGUUGUGUAGUGAAGUACGCACAACGUAAGGCUGGGCUGUGAUGGGGAACGAUUACGAUCGGUAAGCUGCUGAAUUCACGCUGGCGAGAAAAGCUGCUACGAAGCGAAGGCGCCCGUACCGCAAACCGACACAGGUAGGCGAGGAGAGAAUCCUAAGACGAGCGGGAGAACCCUUGUUAAGGAACUCGGCAAAAUGACUCCGUAACUUAGGGAGAAGGAGUGCCCAGGAAUGGGCCGCAGAGAAUAGACCCAAGCGACUGUUUACCAAAAACACAGGUCUGUGCGAAGUAGAGAUACGACGUAUACGGGCUGACACCUGCCCAGUGCCGGAAGGUUAAGGGGAAAUGUUAGGGCAACCGAAGCAUGGAACUUAAGCCCCGGUGAACGGCGGCCGUAACUAUAACGGUCCUAAGGUAGCGAAAUUCCUUGUCGGGUAAGUUCCGACCCGCACGAAUGGUGUAACGAUUUGGGUACUGUCUCAACAAGGGACCCGGCGAAAUUGUAGUAUGUGUGAAGAUGCACAUUACCCGCGAUAGGACGGAGAGACCCCGUAGAGCUUUACUGUAGUUUAACAUUGGAUUCCGGUAACAUAUGCACAGGAUAGGUGGGAGGCGGAGAAGCAGUGAUUUCGGUUGCUGCAGAGCCGACGUUGGGAUACCACUCUUGUGUUACUGGGGUUCUAACCUGUGGCCGUGAUCCGGCACAGGAACAGUGUUAGAUGGGCAGUUUGACUGGGGCGGUCGCCUCCAAAAGAGUAACGGAGGCGUCCAAAGGUUCCCUCAGAAUGGUUGGAAACCAUUCGAAGAGUACAAAGGCAGAAGGGAGCCUGACUGCGAGACCGACAGGUCGAGCAGGGACGAAAGUCGGGCUUAGUGAUCCGGCGGUAUAGAGUGGAAUUGCCGUCGCUCAACGGAUAAAAGCUACCUCGGGGAUAACAGGCUUAUCUCCCCCAAGAGUCCACAUCGACGGGGAGGUUUGGCACCUCGAUGUCGGCUCGUCGCAUCCUGGGGCUGAAGCAGGUCCCAAGGGUUUGGCUGUUCGCCAAUUAAAGCGGCACGCGAGCUGGGUUCAGAACGUCGUGAGACAGUUCGGUCCCUAUCCAUCGUGGGCGCAGGAGAUUUGAGAAGAGCUGUCCUCAGUACGAGAGGACCGGGAUGGACGCACCAAGGGUGUAUCAGUUGUCACGCCAGUGGCACAGCUGGGUAGCCAAGUGCGGAUCGGAUAAACGCUGAAGGCAUCUAAGCGUGAAGCCGACUUCAAGAUAAGAUCUCCCAUCCGCAAGGAGUAAGGCCCCAUGUAGACCACAUGGUUGAUAGGUCGCAGGUGGAAGUGCAGUAAUGUACGCAGCUGAGCGAUACUAAUAGGCCGAGGGCUUGAUCA
rnacentral:rRNA from 1 species